rnacentral:tRNA from 2 species
CGGGGCGUAGCGCAGCCUGGUAGCGCGCCUGCUUUGGGAGCAGGAGGCCGGGGGUUCGAGUCCCCCCGCCCCGACCA